CUAAAAUCCUGCAGUAUCAAAGAAAGCAGUGAACAACAAAAAUUAUCAAUAGUGCUGGGACUGAGAAGCCCUACGCUAUACUGUAAGGGUUCCUGAGAGCAAAGAUUACAGCUUACAAACUUUUAGUGCCAGAAAUGAUCUUAAAGAUUGUUGAGACUUAUUGCCAGCAUUUAAUCAAUAUAUUACUGAACUUCUGUUAUGUGUGUGCAGGGAUUUGCUUUAUUCGUUCACUCAAUUAUCCAGUAUUUGUUGGAAGCAGCUUUUCUAAUCACUGGGAAUUACACAUGUGUACUUGGUGGUCUCAUAAGUGCAAAGGGCCUUUCUGAGUUUGGCUGAUUGCAGAGAGAGUACAAGUGAACCCAUGUGGUUCUCUGAGCUCCAGUUCAAUAAGAUGAUUGUAGUGUUGUAGUAAGAGGAUAUUGUUUGGCUUUUAUCUUCCAGUAGCUUCAAGAAAAGGCAGGAAAGAGACAGAUAGGAGGCAGUGACGUGGUGACUUCCUUCUGUGCAGCCCGAGGUCCUGAGCACCUAGAAAGUCCGGCGACACUCAGAGCACAGGCAGGUUGCUUUGCUGCUGAGAGAGUUCGAGUGCGGCCCUGAGCAGGAGAAGGUGAGCUUCCUCCCCGCGCCCUACCCCAGAGCGCCCUUCCGCUUGGCCACCGUGAGGGCACAAAACAGUCACCAGGAAGACUCGUGCGCUCAGAGGAGCAGUGUCCUCCCAACAGCUCUGGUGACAGACCAUCGUAGCAGUUGGGGGGCCCUCAGCAGGAGCUGAAGCAGAAAACUGAGAGGCCUUAUCCCUCAGCCCCUGAGGUACUCGAGACAUUUCAGAGCAGGAAGAGUGUGUCAGUUAGCAAUUGCUGCAUAACAGUCACCCCACACUGAGCUCAUGAUUCUUCUGGUCAGCACAUUUGGCUGGGCUUAAAUGGGCAUCUUUUCUAAUCUAAAAAGUUCUGGCUCAUCUUGGUUGGAUCUACUCAUCUGUCUCAGCCAAAGACAGUCCUGGGGCCACUCUGGAUCCCGAGGCAGAGAGAUAGAUCCUAGCUCUUAAGAGGAGGUGCUGCAAAGUCACAUUGCCAAAUGAUGACACAAGGUUUUGAAGAGGUUAAUUGACUCACCCGAGGUCUGACAGUAAAUGUGUGAUGUUGGGAUUCCUGAGUUUACAUUCUAUCUCUUCCAUUAUGUUUCUUCUAUGCUCUAGUAAUUCUUUUGUUGCUGUUAUUUUAGCUCCAGAAUCUUUCCCAAAUGAAUCGUCAAGUGUAUUCCAUGCAUUUUUGUGAUGCUCCAUAAUUUAAAAAUGAGAAAGUUAUGGUUACAUGUCUGAAACUUCAAAGUUGGAUGUUGAAUGCAUUAACCUUUAAGUCACAACUGUCCAGGGAGCUGUUAACUCCCCCUCUUGAGCAGCUGGGCUUGUCACUAACACUACUCGGCUGGCUUAGUCAUCAGUGUUCUUUAUUAACUGCUAAACAAUUGGUUCCAAAUGAAAGUUUAUAGAGUUACUGCUGAAAAGCUGCAGAGGGCCCUAGAGACUUCUGAUGAGUUGACUCACCUCUUUUCUACCAUUUUCUAUGCCCAUUUUCAUGAUGUCACUAGAACUUUCUCAGCUAAUUUAAAAAAACAAUUUGGUCCAAUGUGACCAUUGAUAGAGUUGCAUAGUGACUGCAUCUGUGCUUGAUUAGUUGGCCAUCAUUAUUCAUAUUUUUCUGAUGGGUAGAUUAGGUCAGGAGACUGCCUCUUUUCUCCCCUCAGGGAGAGCCUAUGACCAGCAUCAAGCACCUGCAGGUCUCUCUGCUUCACACUGUAGCCAAAGGCCUACACUGAAUACCUUCUGCAAUGAUGAGGAAAGGGGAACCAAAGAAGACAAGAUGGUGUGAUCCCAAAUCCUGCUGCACACCCAACUGGAUGAAAGUACCUGAGAAUAAAUGGCUAAGAAAUUUGUCCAAGGCAACCCAGACAGUGAACAGUGGCAAAGAGAUGGCAAACAGACCAUUGUCUCUCCACUGGCUCUAAAGAUAUUUUUGGCUUGAAAAUUCAAUGAAGGAGAAAAAGAAGGGGAAUUUGAUUUCUGUCGGCCAUUAUCUUUCUUGUCCUCCUUAAAUUCCUCCCCACUCACUCCUUUCCCCUCUAACUUGGUCCACAUGCAUCAACUUCCUGUCUCCAUGGGUUUGGAAUUUGGGUUAUCCCCGAGAUGCAACUUUCUGGUGAUUAUUCAGAAACAACAGAACAACAGAGAGAGAGGAAGGGAGAAAGAGAGAGAUUUUGUGAGUACCAUCACUUGAGAGAACAAAUAUCUCAUGAUAACACAUUGCUUGUUCCAGAUUGUUUUGGAGUUGGUUUAUUCAUUGGAAAUGCAAAUAGACAAACGGGGCAUCAUAAAAAUGAAUGUGGAGUUUUGCAUAUUUACAAACAGGCCUGUAUAUGUUCCGGCUGUGAAAGCAUCCACUUCCCGCCUACUCAUUACAAUGUCAUUUGUCCCAGCAAACUGUCCUUUCAUAAGAGUAUUACAAAAUGAGCUGCUAAUUGAUGGGGUGGGAUUGGUUGAAAAGGCUUGAAUUCUAGAAUGAGGAAUGUGUAAGGGCCUUAGCAACACUCUAACCCGAGACCCUCAUUUUACAGAUGAAAACACAGAACUUGAGUGAUUUGUUUUUAGAAUUGUAUUUAGCAACUGAAGAACAUUAAGAAGAGCUGAUUGAGUUCCACUAGUCCAUUUUCAGAUGAGCAGAAAUGAAGUAAUUUUCUCAGAGUCAUUAAUUGAGUGAAUGGUAGAGCAUGAACAAGAUCUCAGUUCUUUGAACAUCUUACCCAGUGGAUUUUCACUUAAUCAGACUGCUGCAGGGGAGUCACUUAAUGAGAGCUUUGGAGGAGGGGAAGGCAUGUAAGCCCUGCCUCUCGGGGCUUGCCCUCUCUGGCCUGGUGACAGUUGCAAGAAAGUCAGGAAUGCCAAUCAAAUGAAAGAAACCAUAUUUUAAACAGCUCUUUCAAGAAUGGAUUUAAGGGAAACACUCUAGAGAUGGGUUUUCCUCAACUCACUGAGAGGGGAAGGCAAAACAAUUUGAAGGAGAAAAGAAGACUCAGACUCAACCUGGAAGGCAUCAGAUGACAAAGGAGUUCGGAAUGCCGUGUGUCCCACACAAAAGGAGUAGGUAGGACCCAGGGUUAGGAUACAAGGAGACAGUAGGAGUCAGGUAAGAGUCAGGAGGGAUUGUAAAGGUGUCGGCUGGAAGCCGGGGAGGGCAGAAGGCCAAAGGGCUGAGUCCCUCCCUGAGUGAUUAGCUUUUCCCCAGUUUCCUUACACUUCUGGGCACAUAGCAACUUAUGCCAGGAACCUUCUAAAUAAUCUCUGCAGCUGGGAACUGUUCAGUUCACCAAUUUCUUGGAGGCAUCGUCUCUCAUGUUGAGCUGCUCCUCUCACCUGCACAGCCUGUUAUUCUUAACUUUGGGACAUACUUAGAUUUCUCACUUCUGUCCAGUCCCAUACAACUGACACCACAUCUGUAGGGUUCUUGGCUUCUUUUAAUUGAACUUCAAGAUACCACUGCCUAGAUCAUCCUCAGGGCAAGAGGUACUUCAUCUCAGUGCAGGACUAAAAUGAAUCAGGACAGUGACUGUUUUUCUUCAGCUUGAGAUAGGAGUUUAGGGAGAACAGUUGUUUUGUUUCCUUAAAAGAGCAGUGAGGGCCUCGGUAAAGUGCAAUGCUUUGUUAUCUGACCUUAGACAUUGUCAAAGAGCGGGUCAUUGAUUCCAUUCUUCCCUCUGUUCCGUAUCGGAAUUAUACAUCUGCUUCCUAUACCAUGUGACCUUGCAGUAUCCAUUACUAGUAAAUAAAACUAUGGACAUUAGACUUGGCCAUGGGACUUAGUUUGAAUGUUAAUGGCUUUGUAUUUGCAUUGUGUUAAACACCUUGGCCUAUUGUGUUUCUGCUAUUUGUGAUAAGAACAAGUUCUGAGUAGGCACUUGCUCAAGAAGAAAGGAGAAUGAAGCCGACCUGAACCCAUAUAGCAGCCUGAUGCAAGCCCGGCUAAGCCUAAAUGAGAUCAGCAGAAGCCCACCCAACCCACAGAUCUGGCAGCAAGAUAAUCAAUGUCUGUUGUUGUAAGCCACUGGGAUUGCCUGUUUCUUUGUUGUACCUCAUUAUUGCUGAUCGAUGUGGGUACGAAUUCAGUUGGAGGCACUGUGUCAUGGAAGACAGUACAGUGGUGCAGAGCUUAGAUCUGGAGUCAGCAUGUUGGAAUUGGAUCCUGUUAUUUAUGAACAAUACAAACUUGAGAAAAUCAGGAAACUACCCUGAGUGUUUCUUUCACCAAAAAAGGGAGAUGAUGAGCAUUAUAAUCAAUUGAUCCUCAUUAUUACAAGAUUCCACAUUUUCAAAUUCACCUAACUGCUAAAAUUUAUUUGUAACCCCCAAAUCCAGACUAGUGGCGCUUGUCGCAUCAUCCAUGGACAUGGCAGUGAAAAAAAAUUUGAGUCACCUGACGUGUGUGUUUUCAGCUGAGGCUGAGGGACGAUGCUCUCUGUCUUCUUGCUUCAGCUCUCAGACUGCAAACAAGUGUCCUAUCUGUGGUCUAUGUAGUGCCAUGUUUUUUGCAUUUUUGUGCUUUUUGUUGGUACUUAACUUGAUUCCUGUGUGAGGUGCUGAAAUGCUCACUGUUAUUUCUGAGCUCAAGAACGCUACUGU